rnacentral:rRNA from 1 species
UACGUAGGGUGCGAGCGUUGUCCGGAAUUAUUGGGCGUAAAGAGCUCGUAGGCGGCUUGUCACGUCGGAAUGUCGAAAGCCCGGGGGCUUAACCCCCGGGUCUGCAUUCGAUACGGGCAGGCUAGAGUGUGGUAGGGGAGAGUCGGAAUUCCUGGUGUAGCGGUGAAAUGCGCAGAUAUCGGGAAGAACACCCGUGGCGAAGGCGGCUCUCUGGGACGGUACUGACGCUGAGACGGCGAAAGCGUGGGGAGCGAACAGG